AUAACAGAGAAAAAAAUCAUGUUUCUUUUUUUUUUUUCCCUAUGUUUUCCUUCUCUGCAGCUCCUGUUUACUUUCCUUCUCUUGGCUGAGACAUUAUUUCAGUCCAGUGCUUGAAUUUGCUGAGGACCUGAUGGCAAUAAAAAUGUUAAGUAUCAUACCUAAAUCUAAUUUAGGUAGUUGCAUUCUCAAAAAAUAAAAUCCACUCUGCACUUUUAACUAAAAAUAUUUGCCUUACCUCCUAGAAACUGCUGUGUCAAUGCAUGUGGUUUACAAUCACUAGUAUUUCACUAUAGAAGUAGAGACUUUGGAAAGGAAAAGAAGGAAUUUCUUACAUGGGAUAGUAGAGCACUAAGGAAAUGGGAGAAAAAUAAGUUCACAAGCUCCUAAUAAUAUUGAAAACUGUUUGAAACAUUUAAAUUUUGACACGGUGGUUCAUUCUCCUCUUUCUUCCCUGUCAUCCCUCAGUUGAUCUAUAGGCUUUCUAUAUCUCCUUCUUUAUGGUUUAAUCUGCAACAGUUGCAUCUCCUUCAUAUGCUAUUAUCCACACCAUGUUAGCUGUGUUCUUACAGGAAACAAAGCUGUGCUCUGAACUGCGUUGUGGAACUGGACAUCACAAGCUACUGCACUUGCAUGUCACCACUGGAAAGUGGGCCUGGAGGCGCGCGCAGCACAGCCCCAGGCCUGGAAGUGCACGUGACGUGGCUGGCCCUGGGCGAGGAAAGGGGAGGGGGAGCUUCGCUGGUGUGGACUGCGCCCUCGUGGGAGAUGAGAGGGGGAGCCUCGGAGCACACAGGGGCUGGCCUGGUGGUGAAUUCCUCAGGGACAUCUCACUUGUCACAAGGAUUGCAGUGGCCCACUUGGAGAAGCUUUCAGCU